rnacentral:rRNA from 1 species
GACGAACGCUGGCGGCGUGCUUAACACAUGCAAGUCGAACGAAGUGGCGAACGGGUGGGUAACGCGUAAUCAACCUGCCCUUCAGAGGGGGACAACAGUUGGAAACGACUGCUAAUACCGCAUACUGAAGGAGGGGAUUGCGUCUGAUUAGCUAGUUGGAGGGGUAACGGCCCACCAAGGCGAUGAUCAGUAGCCGGUCGGAGAGGAUGAACGGCUACAUUGGGACUGAGACACGGCCCAGACUCCUACGUGAGGCAGCAGUGGGGAAGCGUCCGCAAUGGACGAAAGUCUGACGGAGCAACGCCGCGUUAGUGAUGACGGCCUUCGGGUUGUAAAGCUCUGUUAAUCGGGACGCGGUACCGGAAUAGAAAGCCACGGCUAACUACGUGCCAGCAGCCGCGGUAAUUC